UACGUAGGGGGCAAGCGUUGUCCGGAUUCAUUGGGCGUAAAGAGCGUGUAGGCGGCCUGGAAGGUCAGCUGUGAAAACUCGAGGCUCAACCUCGAGACGUCGGUUGAAACCACCUGGCUAGAGUCCGGAAGAGGAGUGUGGAAUUCCCGGUGUAGCGGUGGAAUGCGCAGAUAUCGGGAGGAACACCCGUGGCGAAGGCGGCUUCCUGGUCCAGCACCGACGUUCAGGCACGAAAGCGUGGGGAGCAAACAGG
rnacentral:rRNA from 1 species